UUUUCUUCUGCUUUUAAGAUUCCCAAUUUGAGAUGAUGUGCUGUUCCUGUUAGAUUUGCUAUUUCUACAGUUGCAGUGAAGUAGAAGAGUCCGGUCGUGUUAUGGGGCAACAGUUCAACAAGAAGGACAAAGAGAUGUGUGCCAUGUUGAAGUAGUGGCUGCCCCUCCUGCCCGGCACUUCUAGAAUCUUCCAUCUCAAACCCUGCUCUGAUCUGCUGUGCCUUUGCCAAAUGAUCACGUGUUUAUUGCAAUGGUGCCCUCUACGUCUCCACCGUCUUUUAAAUCAACCCCAACUUCCUGUGAUAGAAGAAAAGUUCACAAGACGUCCUGAAAUGGAAUUGUGAUUGGAUUGAGACGGCCACAUUUAUGCAUGCUGGGAUGUGCAGAGGGGAGUCUAUGUGGGCUUUAGCUUGGGAACCCCAGAAGUUUAUUAUCUCCAGAAUCCUUGAAGGCUGCAAGUUUGUCUUUGUCCCCGGCCAUUUGACCAGGCAGUGUAUUUAUUACUAAGGAAAAGAACCCCUCUAUUUGCUUCUCAUUUACUUUUAUAAUGCCUUCAGUUUUCUUUGUA